CCAAGUCCCAACAGACUGCGGCAUAAACCAGAUACCAUAUGAUGCAGUGUAGUUGCUUCUACGGAUACUUUUCCCCUUAUUUUCUACUUUUCCAACAGUCUAAUUGCUUUAUCUGCAGAUCUGUAUUCAUUUUAUCAACAGUGUUCUUCUUCAUAGGAUGAAUCUCAUAACCGCCAUCUUGAUGAGCUACUAAUCCGUCUCUUUACUGUCGGAAAAAAGUGAUGGGCUGGAACAGAUACGUAGAACACAUUGCUUUGGUGAUCUGUUGAGUUGUUGAAUUUUGUAUCUCAGAGUCAUCUGUAUAUCUAGGCAACAUUGCAUACGCAAGUUGGAACAACAUGGAGAAGAAAAAGCUAAAGUGAAUGAUCAAAAAUAAAUUGUCCAACAGAAAACUGAUGUGACAAUGUUAGAAUCCAAGGAAUGCCUUUGGCGAUUAGGCAAUGGUCUCACCAAUUAUUGUAUUUUUGUGUCUUUCAACUACAUACAAAGAUAAAUCCAUUUCCUUGAGAGGGCGAGAAGCGAAUGUUAGAACGCAAAAUAUAUCUAGAAAGCAAGUUUGCUCCUUCAAGUUUCUUUAUUUGGUGGUGCUCCACGGACAGAUGAUUUCCACUUUCCAAUGACAAUAAGAAUCAAGGAAGAAAGAAAGUAUCUUGAAGUCGGUGAACAUUCUUUCGAGCAAGCUUAAUAAGCUUAUUAUUUACUUUACAAAUUGUUAGAUUUUCAAAAUCUCUUCAUUUCCUCAAUUGUCAUCAAAAUCUUCACUUGGUAAGUUCUGCUCCUGGAAGAGGAAUGAGUUGGUUAAUAUUUAUAUAUCUUGCGUGUCUGCAGCUUAUUUAUGAUGAGCUUACAAGGGUGUAAAAGCAGUGGAGGAGUGCUUUUUAUGGAACCAGUGGAGUGCUUUCAUGAAAAAUAUGCACUCAUUCUUACUACUGAAGUCGGUCAUUCUCCAAUUUGCUUCCAUUGUAUCUGAGUAUUGUUGCUCCAAUGAAGUUACAUUUACUAUUGACAUUUGCAAAGGAAUUAUGCUUACUGUAGAAGCCUCAGAUCCAGUUUAAGAGUUUUUCUGAACGAUGUGCUCACCAAGUUCAAGUUUCUUACAAGGGAAGAACACAACUGCAUUUGUAGCCACUAGCAGGUUAUGUCCAAAGAAAAUGAUGUCUCAUUUUCUGGGAAACAUUCACUCGUUCACCUUAAACUACGUUGUUUUUUGAAUUUUUCUGUAUCUAAUUUGUUAUUUCAUGUAAAGACUUGAGAAAAAUGUUCCCCUUGUAUUAAUAUACAAAGAUUUUGUAUUAAUGAAAGCAGGUGAAUGCGAUUUUGCUAUA